rnacentral:rRNA from 1 species
GUAGGUGGCAAGCGUUGUCCGGAAUUGUUGGGCGUAAAGCGCGCGCAGGCGGGGUCCUUUAAGUCUGAUGUGAAAGCCCACGGGCUCAACCGUGGAGGGUCAUUGGAAACUGGGGGACUUGAGUACAGAAGAGGAAAGCGGAAUUCCAAGUGUAGCGGUGAAAUGCGUAGAGAUUUGGAGGAACACCAGUGGCGAAGGCGGCUUUCUGGUCUGUAACUGACGCUGAGGCGCGAAAGCGUGGGGAGCAAACAGGAUUAGAUACCCUGGUAGUCCACGCCGUAAACGAUGAGUGCUAAGUGUUAGGGGGUUUCCGCCCCUUAGUGCUGCAGCUAACGCAUUAAGCACUCCGCCUGGGGAGUACGGCCGCAAAGGCUG